rnacentral:rRNA from 1 species
UACAGAGACUGCAAGCGUUAUUCGGAUUUACUGGGCGUAAAGAGCGCGCAGGCGGUCGUUCAAGUCGAGUGUGAAAGCCCCCGGCUCAACUGGGGAGGGUCACUCGAUACUGAUCGACUGGAAGGCAGGAGAGGGAAGCGGAAUUCCCGGUGUAGUGGUGAAAUGCGUAGAUAUCGGGAGGAACACCAGUGGCGAAGGCGGCUUCCUGGCCUGUUCUUGACGCUGAGGCGCGAAAGCUAGGGGAGCAAACGGG